rnacentral:sRNA from 1 species
AGAAUAAGCUGAGUCCAGCCCAGGAGCGGGGGAACCAAGUUUUUGGGGUGAACGUCUGGCUCACGGUGUCAGACCGCAAAGGUCUUCAUGGUGAAAAAGGCGAGGGUGGUCUUCUCUACCCUAACCCGGCAGCUAACCUCGUAAGCGAAGAGAGAGAGGA